rnacentral:rRNA from 1 species
AAUAGAUACCCGGUAGUCCACGCCGUAAACGAUGAAUGUUAGCCGUCGGGCAGUUUACUGUUCGGUGGCGCAGCUAACGCAUUAAACAUUCCGCCUGGGGAGUACGGUCGCAAGAUUAAAACUCAAAGGAAUUGACGGGGGCCCGCGACAAGCGGUGGAGCAUGUGGUUUAAUUUCGAAGCAACGCGCAGAACCUUACCAGCCCUUGACAUCCCGAUCGCGGAUUACGGAGACGUUUUCCUUCAGUUCGGCUGGAUCGGAGACAGGUGCUGCAUGGCUGUCGUCAGCUCGUGUCGUGAGAUGUUGGGUUAAGUCCCGCAACGAGCGCAACCCUCGCCCUUAGUUGCCAGCAUUUAGUUGGGCACUCUAAGGGGACUGCCGGUGAUAAGCCGAGAGGAAGGUGGGGAUGACGUCAAGUCCUCAUGGCCCUUACGGGCUGGGCUACACACGUGCUACAAUGGUGGUGACAGUGGGCAGCGAGACCGCGAGGUCGAGCUAAUCUCCAAAAGCCAUCUCAGUUCGGAUUGCACU